rnacentral:rRNA from 1 species
AUGCUAAAGCAGCUGCAUCAGCUUCGAGCCUGCGACCUCUUGUCCUUGCUGUCCUUCUGCUGCCUGCUCUAUUUUCUAGCAACAUCUGGGUUGCCGGAGACAACAGAUUCGCUUUAUUUCCCUUUUCCUAGAGAAAGCAGGAUCGAUCGGCCGUGUUCCGCGUACAUGUUGUGGCACGAGCAUGAUGAAAAGGCCGAUCAGCUAGACGUACACCUGGUGACACUGCUGCUGGGCACCAUGCAGGCGUUCCAACUGCUUCCCCCAAUCGUGACAGACCAUGGCCAUUGCGUCCCUGCCAACCAUGCCAUGGAGGCCAUGGCCUGCGUGCUCUCCGCCUAG